UACGGAGGGAGCUAGCGUUGUUCGGAUAUACUGGGCGUAAAGCGCACGUAGGCGGCGCAGCAAGUCAGGGGGUGAAAUCCCGGAGCUCAACUCCGGAACUGCCUUUGAUACUGGAGAGCUUGAGUCCGGGAGAGGUGAGUGGAACUGCGAGUGUAGAGGUGAAAAUUCGUAGAUAUUCGCAAGAACACCAGUGGCGAAGGCGGCUCACUGGCCCGGUACUGACGCUGAGGUGCGAAACGUGGGGACAAAGCAG
rnacentral:rRNA from 1 species